UGUGGCUCAAGUGGUAGAGUGCUAGCUUCAAGUUGAAGAGCUCAGGGACAGCCCCCAGGCCCAGAGUUCAAGCCCCAUGACUGACAAAAAAGGAAUAAACAAGAAACUAGAAAAAGUGGUUACUUUAGAAAAGAGAAUCUCUGGCAGAAAAGGAUGGAGGAUGACUUUACAGCUUAUCUUCUGUACUAUUUGCAGGUAUUAACUGUUCAAAGUAAAUCAUAAAAAAUUCUCAGAAUUCCAGAAGAAGAAAAAAAGACCCUUUACUAUCAUGUGAUUCUAGGUGUCUAUUAGAGUUCACUGCAUAUACUGUGAUUCCCUAAACAGUAAGGCCUCAACAAGUAGGCUUUCACAGAAGCUAAGACAAACUAAAAGAAAAAAAAUACUAAGUAGAUUCUUCCAAGAGACAGACAGAUCAAUCACUGUCAUUUUGUGGACUCCACCUUUGACCCACAAAAAUGCUCUUAUUUUCCUUCUUCCUCGAGAUGGUGACAAUAACAGCCUUUCAUCUCAGCACCCAGCCACCUCAGGAAGAGGCUAUUACACUAGGAUAGCCACUACGCAUGCAUCAAGCUACAAAUCAUAUCAAGAAGCCAGAAUAGGAUAUCGAGGAUUCUUUGGCUCUGACCAAAACAAAAUAAAAGAAACAAAGUUGAUGUCCACAAGGAAACUAACAUGUGUAACAUUUCAUUUUUUUUCACAUGAGGUCCCCAAGACACUUUUCCAAUUACCCCACGUUGGAGGUAGGAUUACUUCUUAAGAAAAAUGAAAGAGAAUAGCUUCAGCAAUAUUUAGUGUGUGGGGAUAGAGAUUUGAGUCAAUAGUAGAUGGUGUUCUCGGCAUGCAUGAAGCCUGGGGUCAAUCCUGAGCACCAGAAAAAAAUAAACACAAGUGAUUUUUACCAAUGUUCCCCAAAAUGUGGUUCCAUAAAAAUACUAAGAGACUACAUAGCCAUAUAAAUGAAUGUAAGUAAUACAGAAGUAACAAACUCACAUAACAAGGAACUACCAUGAACUCAGCAUCAUUAUACAAUUGGAAAUCUUGGGAAAGAACUGAAAAUGGAAAGUUUCAUGCACGUUUUGCACAUUCAAGAUCUGCAAUCAACCCUUGACACUUAGUAGACACUAUGUCAGUCUGUUUUUAGAAUACCUGAAGUACAGAGCUACUUUAUUCAAAAUCCCUGAGAUUUUUAGGGAACAUUAAUGUCUCCAAAACAGCACAGCAGAGUUGGGAUGUAGCUCAAUGGCAAAGCACUUGCCUAGCAAGUGCAACAUCCUGGGUUCAAUCCCCAGUACCAAAAAGAAAAAAAAACAAAACAGCACAGCACAGAGUUUAUAUACUGAACAAAUCUUACCCAGGCUCCCGUAGGUAAUUAAGUUCUCCACCACUAACAGUUCCCUGUUUUUUUGCCAGUCCUGGGGCUUGAACUCAGAGCCUGGGCACUGUCCCUG